rnacentral:rRNA from 1 species
GCGGACGGGUGAGUAACACGUGGAUUAUCUACCCUAAGGUGGGGAACAACCCGGGGAAACUCGGGCUGAUACCGCAUGAUACCGAAAGGUCAAAGGGGGCUCGCAAGGGCUUCCGCCAUAGGAGGAGUCUGCGUCCGAUUAGCUAGUUGGUAGGGUAAUGGCCUACCAAGGCGACGAUCGGUAGCCGGCCUGAGAGGGUGAUCGGCCACACUGGAACUGAGACACGGUCCAGACUCCUACGGGAGGCAGCAGUGGGGAAUUUUGCGCAAUGGGCUAACGCCUGACGCAGCAACGCCGCGUGGAGGAUGAAGGUCCUUGGAUUGUAAACUCCUGUCAGCAGGGAAAAAGCAACUCGGGCGAACACCCCGGGGAGUUGAUUGUACCUGCAGAGGAAGCCCCGGCUAACUCCGUGCCAGCAGCCGCGGUAAU